GUUGGAACAGACUCCUGUGUUCAGAAAGGCGAAGUGUUUCUCCAAGACUGCACCUACUCGCGGACGAACCGGGAAGACUGCGAGCCAGCGCUGGAACGAAUCAAUCUAAGCGUGCCAGCUGGUUCACUCGUGGCGAUCAUCGGUUUCGUCGGUAGCGGCAAGUCCACGCUUCUGUCUGCCAUCCUCGGAGACUUACAUCGUGUUAAAGGCAUCGCUCGCAUCAACGGAACUAUCGGCUACGUGCCUCAAGCGGCUACCGUGUUCAACGCGACGUUGCGGGACAACAUCCUCUUCGGCAAACCGUAUGAGCCGAUUCUUUACAGGCGAGUGCUCGAAGCCUGUGAACUCGUCAAGGAUAUCAAUACGUUUCCUGCACGAGACCAUACUGAAAUAGGAG